rnacentral:lncRNA from 1 species
AUGCUCAGCAGGAGUCCUGGAUUCAGCCUAAAGACUGGAAAUAUGUUCUUCAGGAAAAAAAGAGAAAAGAACACUAGAAAAAGAAAUAAAAGCUCUAGGAGACCUUACAUUGGAUUUCUGAUGCCUAGCACACUUCAGGGCCUGGGAAUAGGCCAUGACCAUGGAGCUGAAUCAGAUAUGAUGAAAAUCAUGAUAUUGGUCACCUUAAUAAUGAGUCCGAAACAGAAGAGCCAACCAGGCACCAGAGAAAUCAAUCUGUUUUCACACAGAGAACAAGCAUUUAUGAAGCAUGUACUACUCAAAGGUUUUGAAUACCCCUUAGAGAAUCUCCUGAUUAGACAUGGUACACAUGAUUGUUAUCUCUCUUGCAUGCUCUCAAAGUACCCUUGCUCAUUCUGUGGACCUGACAUCCUGGUGGUGCUUCUGCAGUUGUCACUGAGGUCUUCCCUUCCUGGACCAUGCAGGUGUGGCCUUGGAGAGCAUUGCUUCUGCCAUGUCAGGCAAAUGUCCCUUCCAGCACAGCCCAGCCAACCAGACUCUACCCGUUGGGUAUAUGCUCUCUGGCUGAGGUCUUAA